rnacentral:rRNA from 1 species
CCUANGGGGGGCAUCAGGCGCGAAAACUUUACAAUGCGGGAAACCGUGAUAAGGGAACUCUGAGUGCCCGUUAAAUCGGGCUGUCCAUCAGUUUAAAAAACUGGUGAAGAAAGGGCCGGGCAAGACCGGUGCCAGCCGCCGCGGUAAUACCGGCGGCUCGAGUGGUGGCCACUAUUACUGGGCUUAAAGCGUUCGUAGCUGGUUUGUUAAGUCUCUGGGGAAAUCUUCCGGCUUAACCGGAAGGCGUCUCAGGGAUACUGGCAGACUAGGGACCGGAAGAGGUGAGGGGUACUCCAGGGGUAGGAGUGAAAUCCUGUAAUCCUUGGGGGACCACCUGUGGCGAAGGCGCCUCACCAGGACGGCUCCGACAGUGAGGGACGAAAGCUGGGGGAGCAAACCGGAUUAGAUACCCCANUANUC